AAGGAAUGCGUCUGGACAUGGGGGCCGAGCCGAGCCGAAAGAAGAAAGGCAGAGCCCUCACGCGUGGUAGCUGUGCCGUGUUACUAUACUUCAUGCGACAUCCUUACGUGCCUGCACACACUCGAUCGCGUCGGUGCAGUGCAGGCAUUCAUGCAGAACAAUGGCCCCAGAGUUCCCAGUAGAUGAUCAAAGUUGUAGUCUGCCCCUCUGCUUUCAGGCUUCUUUAUUGUUAGCAGACCGUUGUAUCCCCACCCUGCUCGCAUGUGAGAAGUGGGUCGCAGGUGAAGGCAGUUAGUCCAGGGUGGUUUGGGUCCUGCUUUCCGUUAUUCUGCCUGACUGAACAAACAGGACCGGGCAGGCAGGGAGAGGAAGAGCGGGAAGAAUUGAGGGCCCAGAAGACUAGCGCACUCUCCCCCCACCUCACCCCUUGCGGCAGGCUGGGUGGCCCGUUUGCCGGCGGUACCGAAGGAGGCUUUUUUUCUUUCUUUUUCUUUUUUUUUUUUUUUUUGUGCCGUCAGAAUCGGGGGCAGCUGCCGUUGUCUGAGGCCCUCUGCCCACCCCCGAGCCAGACUGUACAGGAUCUCCCAGCCAGCGCCUCCCUCUCUGCCCCCUCUCCCACAGUCACUCGCUCACACAGCCCGUGCAUCCACCUCCUGUGUGAGAUCAGCUGGGGGUGUGCAGCGUUUUUUUGUUUUUGCUUUUUUUGUUUUGUUUUUUUUGUCAGAGCCCAGGAGAGCUUACAGACGUCCAGCCAGAGGAAGAGAAAACUUUUGUGUCAGUUGCCAGGCAAAGGAGCUUUUUAUUGCCACUAAGAAGAUCCCGGUUAAGCGAGCGAGCUUGUGCGUGUGUGUGUGUGUGUGUAAAUAAUCGUGUGUGGGGGGGUGUGGGAGGUGGUUUGCCUGGGUUAAACUCUGAGCUUUUUUUUUUCUUUUUUUUCUUAAUGCAUCUGCCAUUAAUGCAAAUUGAUAGACAUUCCACUGUGCUCCAUCCUGUUUUCUCACACAGCUUCCCUUUACGAUGACAGAGCUGAAGAAGCGGGCAGUUGUGGUUUGUUGACAGUCAGAAAAGCAGGUGCAGGUGCACAAACCAGUAAAAAUCAACCCCCAUGCCACAAAUGUACACUCUACUGUUGUUCCAUUUAAACCUUUAUUGAAAUUAUGAAAGAAAAUAUUUAACGUAUUAACUAAAAGAUUUAUAUUCACUUUGUAAAUACAGUAGUCAUUAAUAUAUUAACUGUUCUUAUAAAUAAAUAAUCUUAAAAGGUUAUAAUAUUUGGAUCAGAACCGAGGCUUCAGUCAGCCCCAGUGUUUGUUUCUUUUUCUUUUUUGCUUUCUUCAUGAAAACUGAUGUGAGAACUUGACUUUGUGUGGAUGUGGGGGAGUGGAACACGUGGUUUACUGAGAUGCGAUGCAGGACAACAGCAAAAAAUAGGAAAAUAUUACUUUGUUACACACUCCCCUCCCUUCUUUAUGAACUGAUGGAAAUACUUUUUUGUGGAUUUCAUCAUAAUGGACUGUUUACUGUGUAAUGUAAGCUGUUUUCCUCCCUUCUGUCUCCUCUGAGCAAAAUUGAAAAUGCUUUGUGGAUAAAAUGAAAACUUUUCUUUUCUUUUCUUUGCAUGGUUUACUGCCCCUUUACUUUUUGUAUCUGUGGGCCACUAUCGGUCUGUUUAAUGUACAAAAAAAGAGAAAAAGAUUUCCCUGCACAUGACACACAGAUUGAGUUGGCUCAUAUGCAUGAAUAUUGAACGUGUGCAAGUUUUAUAUCGCGAGUGGAUCAGAGGCUAGCUGAAUAUAAAGUCAGAGUCAGAUCAUGAAGAGUAUAACCUGUAGCCUAAUUUGUUUGGAAUGUGUGUGUGUGUGUCUGUACUUUCUGAGUAGUUUGCAUUUUAUACACAUGGGGGCGCUGUUUAACUUUUUUAAACCACAUCACAAUGAUUUAAAAAAAGGACUAAAGAAUAAUGGGGCGUGCUGGGCCUUUUUGCAUUUUGCUGUGUUAUGAGAACUUGGAUCUAGUUUGUACAGUUUUUACAGGUGUGAACUUUGCCCAACUGACUUAAAAAAAAAAAAAAGUAAAAAAAAAAGUGGAGGUAGCUGUGUUUUAUUUACCACAUGAACAGAUUUGAAUGCAAGAUUUGCAUAACCAUUCGCCUAUGUGACGAGAACUUGUAAAUGGCUACAAGUUGACCUUUGAAGUGUUUGAAGGUGGUUUGAUUUGUAGUUGGGUGUGUGAUUUCUUUGUUUUCUCUUUUCUUUUCUUCAGGCUGUAAUUAGCCUUUUAAGUAGAGCUGAUCACACUGAUGGCCGGUCACUAAAAAGAAUACCCUGAUUUCGUUGAUACACAUCCUGUUAUAGAUGGAAAAAAGACAACUCUCCCCCCCCUUGAUGCUGUUCUGAAACAUGAAACAGUGUCUGUGUAUGACCAUUGCAUACUAUGUUGCCAAUACUACAGUGUGAUGAGACUUUUGUUCUUGCAUGAAUUGAGACACUGUUCUCCUACCUCAUGUUGUGAUAUAUAUAUUAAAAAAAAGAUGUUUUUUAAGCAGAAGACACUGCAUCUCUGUUUAUCAUCAUAGAUAUUUACUAGAAAGAUUACAUACCUGUAAAUGCUUUUAGCUAAUACCUCAGUUGUAUCUAGUGUUUGUUUUUUUUGGUUUUUUUCUGUUUUUGCCCUUUCCUGAUUUCAGAUCUUGUAAAUAAAACCCUGUAUAGACAAUGAACUUGGAUCAAAUUCAAGUAAAGUUCUGUAGUGUCAAAAUCCGUCAUGUCUUUUUUCUAGACCGCCUUUAAGUAUA
ensembl:lncRNA